rnacentral:lncRNA from 1 species
UGAGGACAUCCUCCACUAUUACCCGUUGGCAAAGACGUAAUUGGCCCAGUUGGCCCAAUUGUAGUCGGACGGUGACCGUGUGAGCCUCAGAAUUAUCCCACCUUGCUUAACUUGGGAGGAGGAAGCCACUUUAAAAGGGAGAUCCACCCUUCCCCAAUUGGACUAGUCUUUUGGGGAGAUUGGUCCUUUCCCUGAGCUGGGUGUGCUUAAUGAACUAUUGGACUCCGGGCAACCCUAACUUGUUGGGCCUCGGCCAACCCCACCUGGGCUGGGUGUAUCAUCUGGUAUCAGAGCUAGGGCCCAUUUUAAGAAGGUGGGAAUGACGAGGACAUCCUCCACUAUUACCCGUUGGCAAAGACGUAAUUGGCCCAGUUGGCCCAAUUGUAGUCGGACAGUGACCGUGUGAGCCUCAGAAUUAUCCCACCUUGCUUAACUUGGGAGGAGGAAGCCACUUUAAAAGGGAGAUCCACCCUUCCCCCAUUGGACUAGUCUUUUGGGGAGAUUGGGCCUUUCCCUGAGUUGGG